UGAGGUGUUCUUUUCAUGGUGUGAAACC
rnacentral:piRNA from 1 species